UGGGGAAUUUUGGACAAUGGGGGAAACCCUGAUCCAGCCAUCUCGUGUGUGCGAUGAAGGCCUUCGGGUUGUAAAGCACUUUUGGCAGGAAAGAAACGUCAUGGGUUAAUACCCCGUGAAACUGACGGUACUUGCAGAAUAAGCACCGGCUAACUACGUGCCAGCAGCCGCGGUAAUACGUAGGGUGCAAGCGUUAAUCGGAAUUACUGGGCGUAAAGCGUGCGCAGGCGGUUCGGAAAGAAAGAUGUGAAAUCCCAGAGCUCAACUUUGGAACUGCAUUUUUAACUACCGGGCUAGAGUGUGUCAGAGGGAGGUGGAAUUCCGCGUGUAGCAGUGAAAUGCGUAGCUAUGCGGAGGAACACCGAUGGCGAAGGCAGCCUCCUGAGAUAACACUGACGCUCAUGCACGAAAGCGUGGGGAGCAAACAGG
rnacentral:rRNA from 1 species